AACGGCUGUGAACAAUUUAAGUUUGGAAUACUUAUAGUUUUUAUUAUGAUAUUUAUAUUUAAUUGUUUUGUUGAUAACCAAGUGCAUAUAUAAAGUGAAAAUAGAAACUAUAAAAUUAUCGAGAGCACUUAGUAGUUUUCUAUAAGUACUUAUUGUUUAUGAUGAAUAAUCAUGGUUCGACAGUGUAUUCUUAAUUACUGCCAAAGUUCAACAAGAACUACGCAAGACCGUCAAUUUUUUCGUUUUCCAAAAAAAGAAGAAAGUCGAAAAUUGUGGUUGCAAAAUAGUAAUGUUGUAGCUGAAAAUGUGAAAAAAUAUUCAGUUUUAUGUGAUAUAAGAUUUUGUCUGAUUAUACUAAUUUUUAAUUGAUUUUAAACUAAACUAAUAAAUAUUAAAUGAAAUAAAUCAUUUGUAGAAACGUUUUUCCGAAGACUGUUGGAAGAUAGUAGAAGGAAAGAAGCGUUUAAAAAACACUGCAGUACCUACUAUUUUUAUCCAAUCUAGUAUUUUAACAGAUAAAAAAGGUAUUACAUUAUCUUUUAAUCAAAGUAUUUUGAAAAGAAAAG